rnacentral:rRNA from 1 species
CCUACGGGUGGCAGCAGUAGGGAAUCUUGCGCAAUGGGCGAAAGCCUGACGCAGCAACGCCGCGUGAUCGAGACGCCCUUCGGGAUGUAAAGAUCUGUCAGUGGGGGCAAAACUUGACUGUAACCACAAAGGAAGCACCGGCUAAAUCCGUUCCAGCAGACGCGGUAAUAACGGGGGUCCAAGCGUUGUCCGGAUUCAUAGGGCGGAAAGAGUUCGUAGGCGGCACGUAAAGUCUGGUGUUAAAGGCAGUGGGUCAACUUCUGUACGGCAUUGGAUAGUUGCGAGCUAGAAUGCGGUAGAGGGAAAGGGAAUUCCUGGUGUAGCGGUGAAAUGCUUAGAUAUCAGGAGGAACAUCGGUGGCGUAAGCGCUUUACUGGGUCGUAAUUGACGCUGAGGAACGAAAGCCAGGGUAGCAAAUGGGAUUAGAUACCCGGGUAGUC